CACGCCCUAAACGAUGCUUACUCGUUGUUUGAUCGAAAGAUUGAGUGACUAAGCGAAAGCGAUAAGUAAGCCACCUGGGGAGUACGACCGCAAGGUUGAAACUCAAAGGAAUUGACGGGG
rnacentral:rRNA from 1 species